rnacentral:rRNA from 1 species
CCUACGGGAGGCUGCAGUGAGGAAUAUUGGUCAAUGGACGCAAGUCUGAACCAGCCAUGCCGCGUGCAGGAUGACGGCUCUAUGAGUUGUAAACUGCUGUUGUACGAGGGUAAACCCCGAUACGUGUAUCGGGUUGAAAGUAUCGUACGAAUAAGGAUCGGCUAACUCCGUGCCAGCAGCCGCGGUAAUACGGAGGAUCCGAGCGUUAUCCGGAUGUAUUGGGUUAAAAGGGUGCGUAGGCGGAGUGUCAAGUCAGCGGUAAAAUUUCGGGGCUCAACCCCGUCGUGCCGUUGAAACUGACACCCUUGAGUGAGUGAGAAGUAAGCGGAAUGCGUGGUGUAGCGGUGAAAUGCAUAGAUAUCACGCAGAACGCCGAUUGCGAAGGCAGCUUACCGGCGUUCAACUGACGCUGAGGCACGAAAGUGCGGGUAUCGAACAGGAUUAGAUACCCUUGUAGUC